rnacentral:rRNA from 1 species
GACGAACGCUGGCGGCGUGCUUAACACAUGCAAGUCGAACGAAGAGCGAUGGAAGCUUGCUUCUAUCAAUCUUAGUGGCGAACGGGUGAGUAACGCGUAAUCAACCUGCCCUUCAGAGGGGGACAACAGUUGGAAACGACUGCUAAUACCGCAUACGAUCUGACCUCGGCAUCGAGGAUAGAUGAAAGGUGGCCUCUACAUGUAAGCUAUCACUGAAGGAGGGGAUUGCGUCUGAUUAGCUAGUUGGAGGGGUAACGGCCAACCAAGGCGAUGAUCAGUAGUCGGUCUGAGAGGAUGAACGGCCACAUUGGGACUGAGACACGGCCCAGACUCCUACGGGAGGCAGCAGUGGGGAAUCUUCCGCAAUGGACGAAAGUCUGACGGAGCAACGCCGCGUGAGUGAUGACGGCCUUCGGGUUGUAAAGCUCUGUUAAUCGGGACGAAAGGCCUUUUUGCGAAUAGUGAGAAGGAUUGACGGUACCGGAAUAGAAAGCCACGGCUAACUACGUG